UAAUCUUAGUGGCGACGGGUGAGUAACGCGUGGGUAACCUGCCUUACACUGGGGGAUAACACUUAGAAAUAGGUGCUAAUACCGCAUAAGCGCACGAAGCCGCAUGGAUUUGUGUGAAAAACUCCGGUGGUGUAAGAUGGACCCGCGUCUGAUUAGCUUGUUGGCGGGGUAACGGCCCACCAAGGCGACGAUCAGUAGCCGGCCUGAGAGGGUGGACGGCCACAUUGGGACUGAGACACGGCCCAAACUCCUACGGAAGGCAGCAG
rnacentral:rRNA from 1 species